CGGAUUGCCUUUAUUAGGCACGAAAGCGUGGGGAGCAAACAGGAUUAGCCCUUCGUGGUAGUCCACGCCCUAAACGAUGCGAACUGGAUGUUGGGCUCAACUUGGAGCUCAGUAUCGAAGCUCCCGCGUUAAGUUCGCCGCCUGGGGAGUACGGUGGGGGGGGGGGGGGGGAAAGGAAUUGGCAGGGGCUCGCACAAGCGGUGGUG
rnacentral:misc_RNA from 1 species